AACGAACGCUGGCGGCAUGCCUAACACAUGCAAGUCGAACGAGACCUUCGGGUCUAGUGGCGCACGGGUGCGUAACGCGUGGGAACCUGCCCUUAGGUUCGGAAUAACUCCCCGAAAGGGGUGCUAAUACCGGAUAAUGUCUUCGGACCAAAGAUUUAUCGCCUUUGGAUGGGCCCGCGUUGGAUUAGCUAGUUGGUAGGGUAAAAGCCUACCAAGGCGGCGAUCCAUAGCUGGUCUGAGAGGAUGAUCAGCCACACUGGGACUGAGACACGGCCCAGACCCCUCGGGGGGGGAGCAGGGGGGAAGGUGGAACAAGGGGUGAAAGCCUAAUCCAGCAAGGCCGGGGGAGUGAGUAAGGCUUUAGGGUUGAAAGGCUUUUUUACCCGGGAGGAUAAGACCGUUCCCGGGAAAAAAGGCCCGGGUUAACCCCGG
rnacentral:rRNA from 1 species